GACAGAGGGUGCAAACGUUGUUCGGAUUCAUUGGGCGUAAAGGGUGCGUAGGUGGCGCCGUAAGUGGGGUGUGAAAUCCCGGGGCUUAACCCCGGGACUGCAUUCCAUACUGCGGUGCUUGAGGACUGGAGAGGAGACUGGAAUUUACGGUGUAGCAGUGAAAUGCGUAGAGAUCGUAAGGAAGACCAGUGGCGAAGGCGGGUCUCUGGACAGUUCCUGACACUGAGGCACGAAGGCCAGGGGAGCAAACGGG
rnacentral:rRNA from 1 species